rnacentral:misc_RNA from 1 species
GAAAUGCGAUAAGUAAUGUGAAUUGCAGAAUUCAGUGAAUCAUCGAAUCUUUGAACGCACCUUGCGCUCCUUGGUAUUCCUUGGAGCAUGCGUGUUUGAGUAUCAUGAAAUCUUCAAAGUAAAUCUUUUGUUAACUCAAUUGGUUUCUACUUUGGUAUUGGAGGUCUUUGCAGCUUCACACCUGCUCCUCUUUGUUCAUUAGCUGGAUCUCAGUGUUAUGCUUGGUUCCACUCGGCGUGAUAAGUUAUCUAUCGCUGAGGACACUGUAAAAGGUGGCCAAGGUAAAUGCAGAUGAACCGCUUCUAAUAGUCCAUUGACUUGGACAAUACUUUUAUGAUCUGAUCUCAAAUCAGGUAGGACUACCCGCUGAACUUAAGC